UACGGAGGAUGCGAGCGUUAUCCGGAUUUAUUGGGUUUAAAGGGUGCGCGGGCGGCACGGCAAGCCGGCGGUCAAAUCGCGGGGCUCAACCCCGCCCAGCCGUCGGAACUGCCGGGCUAGAGUGGGCGAGAAGUGCGCGGAAUGCGUGGUGUAGCGGUGAAAUGCAUAGAUAUCACGCAGAACUCCGAUUGCGAAGGCAGCGCACCGGCGCCCUACUGACGCUCAGGCACGAAAGCGUGGGUAUCGAACAGG
rnacentral:rRNA from 1 species